CCCUCAUUCACCAGCACCUCUCUGUCCUGAGAUCCAUUACAGCCAGGGAAAAACAGAAGAUCAAUAAUCUCAUUGAGAAGACGUGAGCAAGAGAAUUUACAAGCCCAAGCUGGAGUCCACUUGGACUCUGCUGAUUCAAGCUUGAUACGGGAUGUGUGAGCGAUCUGCGAGUUGCUCUGUUCGGCCCUGCUUGUUAUAAAUGUGUGUCCAAGCCAGGAACACUCCAGCAUCAACCCUCCUUCAUACCAGUGAAAGUAUGACACGGUGAACUCCAGUUUCACCUUUCUGGACUUCAGGAAUCAAGAAGAGGAAGACAGAGCUGACUAUCUGCGCCUGGGGCACAUACAGAGUUGUCAUGAUCCCAGCAGCGGUGAUGUCUCUGUCUACCUACAGUGUCUGUCUUACAGAGUGACCUGGGUUUUGCUUCUGCCUGCCCCUCGCAGCAAAAAACACUGCAGUUCAUAGGCCUGUAUCUUGUUUUUAGGCCUCUCCUCAUGUGUUUUUUUUUAAGGCGAUGAAAAUAAGCUUGUGAGGGCUGACAGUGCCAAAUGACUCUGGCAUGACGUUAUCCUCCAGCAUUCCUUCUGCUCUCUCUGGAAGAGAGCUGACUGUUCUCUAACCUCUGCUGUCUUAAAGGGGCCUCGUGGCCGAGAUAAACCAGGACUGACAGCUGUGGACUGGGCAGGCAUCUGGUUUGUCAGUGCUGCUGUCUUGUUCAGCCAGACAGGUUCGGGAGGUGGUUUGCUUGUAACCCACUUCCCCGCCUGCUUUCUUGCAGUCUUUGCAGCUUGUUUUAAUGUUCUUUCUCUCUGCUUUCCCCCCAAGACUAAGGAGAAAUCGCAAAUGGUUUUUCUGCUUUGGCAUGAGCAUAUGUACAGAAGAACUCAAUUUGUUAGCAGAGCUACUUCAGUGAAGGCAGAGGGCUCGAGUAACUGGCCUCUGCACCAAACUGAACAAUUAGUGAGAAAAGGUCUUUUCAGUAAUGUCUUCUAAUACAUAGUUCACUGUAGUAGGUAUUUACACAGCACAUUAUGUUGCAUUCCACUGCUGUGCUUUGAUAUGGUCAGGGCAUUCCUUUGGGUUGCAGGUGUUUGGUCUCCUAGCCUGAUGGGUCAGAAGGGAAAAGACUGCCUGGGCAGGAGUAGGCUGAAGAGCCCUGGUGAUGAUCUAUUGAUCAGCCACUUUGGAAAUGGCUCUGCAGCUCAUGGUGGUCCAGUGUGACUUGAGAAGGGGGCAGUCGUGUAGUGUUCUAGACAUCUGACAUCCUCCUUGCUGGAAAAGCAGACUUCUAUCCUGGUGAUAUUUUAAAUACAUUUAUUGUCAUGAUUAGUCUUUGGCUAGUGUUUGUUCUCCUAAACCAUGAUUACACAAGGUGAUGUGCUCAUAAAUGUGUUCAUGUUUAUUCAUUAGGAACUGGGAAGUGGUAGAACUCCAAAGUAGACUGGUGUGGUCCGAAAUACCUUUUUGUGUGGUUUUAUUUACAGGGUUUUUUAGCUUUAGAUUAAUGUCUUGCACUGACUCACUUAAACUUGUGCAUUAAGCAGUCUUGAGAUACAAUUUUUUUAAUUGAACCUUUCAGACAUGUGCUAUGCUAACUGCUGCAAAUCAAAUACUGAUUAAACUAGACACUUUUAAUGCCUUCCUCAGCUCUGUAACACAAAGAUUCCCUCACAUGUGUUUCAGAACUCAAAUAGCCUUCAUAAGUGCCUGCAGGAUGGCUGCCCACAUUGAUCUGAACUUGUCAAGACAUUUCGUGUUUCCUUGCAAAGAGGUUUCAUGUGUGCAGUAAUGUUGCACCCAAAUCAUAAUCAUGUAUUAUAUGUUAAAAAUGACAAGCCAUAAUGCUGCCAAACCUUUCUGCUUCACCCUUUACUGUUUUCUGUGUUUUCGAGAGCACCUAGCUAAAAAAAAGUAACUCUGUUUUCUGUGAGCCGGAAGUGACAGGUAAGAUCCCGCCAAA